AAGUGAAGGUGGAAGCGGCCGCGGCGGCAGCAGGCCACCAUGGCGGAGCUGCAGGAGGUGCAGAUCACAGAGGAGAAGCCACUGUUGCCAGGACAGACGCCUGAGGCGGCCAAGACUCACUCUGUGGAGACACCAUACGGCUCUGUCACUUUCACUGUCUAUGGCACCCCCAAACCCAAACGCCCAGCGAUCCUUACCUACCACGAUGUGGGACUCAACUAUAAAUCUUGCUUCCAGCCACUGUUUCAGUUCGAGGACAUGCAGGAAAUCAUUCAGAACUUUGUGCGGGUUCAUGUGGAUGCCCCUGGAAUGGAAGAGGGAGCCCCUGUGUUCCCUUUGGGAUAUCAGUACCCAUCUCUGGACCAGCUUGCAGACAUGAUCCCUUGCGUCCUGCAGUACCUAAAUUUCUCUACAAUAAUUGGAGUUGGUGUUGGAGCUGGAGCCUACAUCCUGGCGAGAUAUGCUCUUAACCACCCGGACACUGUUGAAGGUCUUGUCCUCAUCAACAUUGAUCCCAAUGCCAAGGGUUGGAUGGAUUGGGCAGCCCACAAGGUUUGGAGGGGCCUGUGUGCUGAGACCUAGG
rnacentral:sRNA from 1 species